AAAGCUAGCCGGUGACGGUGCGCGAAUCCCAAAAAUAACGUCUCAGUUCGGAUUGUAGUCUGCAACUCGACUACAUGAAGCUGGAAUCGCUAGUAAUCGCGGAUCAGAAUGCCGCGGUGAAUACGUUCCCGGGUCUUGUACACACCGCCCGUCACACCAUGGGAGUCGGAAAUGCCCGAAGUCUGUGACCGAACCGAAAGGAAGGAGCAGCCGAAGGCAGGUCGGAUGACUGGGGUGAAGUCGUAACAAGGUAUC
rnacentral:rRNA from 1 species